rnacentral:misc_RNA from 1 species
AGUCAAUACAGUGGAAACUCUUGAAUAUAUCUUAUCUAAAGAAACGAAAUCUCAAUCUGGAAAGACGAUGAUGACGAGGUCACUGAUCCGAAUUGAAAGUGUUAAACAGUAAGGUAAACAGUAAGGCGUGCAACGUGAUCCGCCGGAGCUCCGAUCGAAAUUCUCCCUUCCCGUUUCUACUUCGGUUUGCGAUGAUUUGUUUUUUGCGCGCGAAGCAAUAACGAAAGUGAUACAUAGAAAGGAUGAGAUCAGAAUCUGAUUUAUAUAGAGGUUCUUUAGAAGGUUUGAGGUUGAGGCUUUUACAUUCCAGAGACUUCAAAAUUAACUGUUUACAAACGAAAGCGAAAGCCGUGAGCCAUUCCUUUUUGC